AUCAUCUGUCCUGAGGUAGGGUGUUUCCAUAGAGGAGGUGCUUUGCAUCGGCAGCUCAUGCUUCAGUGCUCUGGGAGUGUUUAUAGCCCUGUGAGUUUCAGACUGCAGGACUGAGAUCUGUCCAUCAACACAACAGAAACCACGACAACCAUGACUCUGAUCACCAUCUUUAUCUGGACCCUGGUCUGCUGCUGCCUCAAAGGAUCCGGAGGUCAGGUGACUGUGACUCAGCCUCCUGUAGUGACAUUUUCUCCAGGAGACCCUGUCACUCUGACCUGUACAACCAACCCUAAAGUGUACAGAUGGGAUGAUGGAGAUGAGGGUGUGUUCUGGUAUCAACAGAGACCUGGAGAAGCUAUCAAACUCCUGAUAAUAUACGCAAAGAAACUGCUAGGUGGGAUUCCUGCUAGAUUCAGUGGCAGUGGGUCUGAGAGGGACUUCACUCUGACCAUCAGUGGAGUCCAGGCUGAAGAUGCUGCAGUUUACUACUGUCAGAGUUACCACAGUGGUAAUGUGUUCACACAGUGAUUUAGAG